UCCCCUCUUCCCUCGCACCUCCCCCCCCCCCCCACGUGCCACCUAGCGAGUGACGAGUGUACACACAUGAAGGUCUGCCUAGCCUUUGUGGUGCCUGAGGCCAGGAGGUGACACCCCUGCAGAGGCUCAACACGCACUGGACUGAUGGAUGGCUUGGUGAGCUGCAUGGCCUCAGCUGAUGUGUAAUGGGGAAUCCAAUCUGAGACUGUUCCAAGCUGGUAAGAAUAUAAAAAUGCAGACAUGAUGCACAUUUCAUACCAGCAAUGAAGAGAGCAACACCAGCAGAUGGUACCAAUAGAAUUUGGUGAACAUUGGUCAGCCCUUCAAUUCUAGAUCGAGAUUUCAGGUUCCCAGCAUCAUCCACAAUAAAGGAGAAGAGACCCUCUGCAGCACCAAUCACAGCUGUCUGCAAUCACCAGGCAGAUGCAUCACUAUUACCAAAUAAACAAUCUAUUAUAUUUAGGGAAAUUUAGGUAUUUUCUGCUAUAUCAUUUUAUCCAAGAGAUUGAUGUAAGAAAAGACAUGUAAUAUCAAACACAUGAAGACACAAGCCAGCAAUUAAUUCACUGGCACUUACUGCCUGGCCAAGGAAAACUAUAGUGUUGACAUCCAAAGUGCUGGGCUGGUCUAGGGUCAGCAGACAGUCAGCCUGGAUGUACUCUUCAUCAGCACCACCACUGCCUUCUCCCUUGGAAAGCUGAUGACCAGAUCAUGGCAGUUUAGAUUCAGAUAUUUUUGUAUUGCCAAAUCAUCAAAUUAGAAAAUAAAAUAAACACUAUGGAACACACUAAGAAGAGCAGUGCUGUAAAUGGUAAGAGCCUUUCCUUUCCUACAGAGGUGUUCCCUUACCUGAGCCACCACACUCUCCAGUGCAGUCACCCAGUUCUGCUUCUCUUCAAAGUUGGUGGUCAUGAGGUACAGCAUGUCUGAGGACCCCCCAGCAGUCUUGGCACGGAUCUCAACCUGGAAACACAAUAAGUAAUUAACUAUCUGAACUGAAUAUGAAAAAUUUACUAAGUGUCUUCAUGUCUUAAGGAUCUUCACAUACCUUUACUAAAGAUGAGAAAACAGCACAGAAGACAUUAAUCUCACACAAUUCAAUGUUCUAUAAACAAGUGAAUCUAAUACAGAGUAGUAACUGUUGUA